UAAGGGAUAUUGGGCAAUGGGCGCAAGCCUGACCCAGCAACGCCGCGUGGAGGAAGAAGGUCUUCGGAUCGUAAACUCCUUUUGAGAGGGACGAGGAAGGACGGUACCUCUUGAAGAAGUGACGGCUAACUACGUGCCAGCAGCCGCGGUAAUACGUAGGUCACGAGCGUUAUCCGGAUUUACUGGGCGUAAAGCGUGUGCAGGCUGUUAGGUAAGUGGUGUAUGAAAGCGCUCGGCUUAACCGGGCGAGGCUAUGCCAGACUGCCUAGCUAGAGGCAGCCAGAGGGACAUGGAAUUCCGGGUGUAGCGGUGAAAUGCGUAGAGAUCCGGAGGAACACCAGAGGCGAAGGCGGUGUCCUGGGGCUGACCUGACGCUCAGACACGAAAGCACGGGGAGUGAACGGGAUUAGAAACCCCGGUAAUCCGUGCCGUAAACGAUGCAGACUAGAUGUCGGCGGUCUCAACUCCGUCGGUAUCGCAGCUAACGCGCUAAGUCUGCCGCCUGGGGACUACGGUCGCAAGACUA
rnacentral:rRNA from 1 species